GGAGUCGCCUGGAUGGGGCGGUGCCCGGCAGCGGGCGAGGCGCGGCCGGAGGCAGCGCUCCCGCGGGGGCUGGGGGCAAGCGGGACAGCGCGGUUUGUCAGUGAUCGCCAUGGCUCCCUCGUCCCCGGGAGGGUUCCCCCCGGGAGGGUUCCCCCCGGGAGGGUUCCCCCCCGCCCGUCCCGAGGGAGCGGCUCGGAGGAGGAGGCGGCUGCUCGUAAACCCAGCGCUCUGCCGAGGUGAAAGCUGUGUCCCGCCCGGAGCCGUGUGCCCGUUCGGCUGUGGAAGUCGGAAGCAGAACGCUCGGAGCAGAUGGAGAGCAUACAGACUAGGAUUUUCACACAGAGUCAUCACAUACUAUGAGAUCAUAUUGGCCUUUUUUUUGUCUCUUUAGCAGAUUCUCUACUGCUGGAGAUUCUUGCCAGUCUGAACACCGAGAGAAGCUAGUUUGCAACUUAAGACAGAGUAGAACAAACAAUAUGGCUAAUUUUGUGAUGAGAUGUACUAGACUCUGUUUUGCAUUGCUAAUUGUGAUUUUGGACUAAUGCCCUUCCCAUUUUCAACCAAUACAUGGCUUUUCAGCAUCUCCUUGCAUACAGAAAUUAGCCCUGGUCACCAGUAAAUUUGCUGAAUUAUAUUAUUGCUGGUCAACAAAGAAAUGCACUCUUCCUUUGUAGUUUUUUGGGUAGCUGUCCCUAGCAUAGAAUCUGUGAUAUGCAGCUUUAAUGCUGUGGUUCUUUAAGUGGGAACAAUGGAUAGGUGUGCCUGUAUCCCAGAUUACUGUGGACUUAGCUGAUAGGACAAGGAAAAGCACAAACAGCUGAAAUGAAUAGUUCAUGUUUGCUAAGCUGUUUGUUCAAAAAUUAUCUUCCACAUACUUCCAAAAAAAAAUACCUUCCCUGUAAGAAGUCACACCUUGCCUACAGAUCUUUUCCUGUCAUUGGUGUACAGAACCAAAGUGAGCAGUGUUUUCUGCAGUACAUGAGAUGCAGACAGACAGCACAGUAUUUAAAAUCAUUCUUAAAAGGCACCAUAUAGAACAAGUUAUUUUAGAAGUAUUUUUUACUGAAGAUCCAAAUAGUCAAUAAUCUAAAAAAGGCAUAAACUAAAAAUUAUUGUCUGAAGGAAUUCAAGACUAUAUCCUAAUAGCAUAAAGGACAGCAUAAUGCAAAAUAGAAACCCCACACUAAUUCUGAACUUUGCCUCAAGCCAUCUCUGAGACAGAUAUUCUGCAGAUGGGAAAGUUACAAUUGGCUUAAGGACUGCUAAUGUAGUGGGUGCAGUUACUCAAACAGAGCCUAAUUAAGUUUUCAGCUAUAAAGCAUAUUCUUACAGGUUGAUAGAUCUCACACAGGAGUGUAUAUCAAAGAUCUAGUUUUGUGUUAUGAAGAGAGCUGUCAUAAUGAGGGUAUUGCCAACAUUUAGGUUGCCAGAAAGCUUUGUGUUCCAUCUGGGCCUCUAAUGAAGCAGAUAUACCCCUCAGUGUGAGCCUGAUAUUUCUGAGUCUGAAAAGAUUUUCAGCCUGCCAGUGGCUGAUUUCUUCCCAAGGGAAGAUUUCUCGGGAGAGUCUUUCUUUCAAGGACAGUUUCUGUAAAUAACUUAUGUUUCUCAAAAUAAAUCUGUACAGCUGUGCUGAUUGUGUUUCUCU
ensembl:lncRNA